rnacentral:rRNA from 1 species
AACGCGAAGAACCUUACCAAGUCUUGACAUCCUUUGACCACCCUAGAGAUAGGGCUUUCCCUUCGGGGACAAAGUGACAGGUGGUGCAUGGUUGUCGUCAGCUCGUGUCGUGAGAUGUUGGGUUAAGUCCCGCAACGAGCGCAACCCCUAUUAUUAGUUGCCAGCAUUUAGUUGGGCACUCUAAUGAGACUGCCGGUGACAAACCGGAGGAAGGUGGGGAUGACGUCAAAUCAGCAUGCCCCUUAUGACUUGGGCUACACACGUGCUACAAUGGAUGGUACAACGAGUCGCAAACCCGCGAGGGCAAGCAAAUCUCUUAAAGCCAUUCUCAGUUCGGAUUGCAGGCUGCAACUCGCCUGCAUGAAGCCGGAAUCGCUAGUAAUCGUGGAUCAGCAUGCCACGGUGAAUACGUUCCCGGGUCUUGUACACACCG